UACGUAGGGUCCGAGCGUUGUCCGGAAUUACUGGGCGUAAAGAGCUCGUAGGUGGUUUGUCGCGUUGUCCGUGAAAACUCACAGCUCAACUGUGGGCGUGCGGGCGAUACGGGGCAGACUGGAGUACUGCAGGGGAGACUGGAAUUCCUGGUGUAGCGGUGGAAUGCGCAGAUAUCAGGAGGAACACCGGUGGCGAAGGCGGGUCUCUGGGCAGUAACUGACGUGGAGGAGCGGAAAGCAUGGGGAGCGAACAGG
rnacentral:rRNA from 1 species